rnacentral:rRNA from 1 species
UACGUAGGGUGCAAGCGUUGUCCGGAAUUAUUGGGCGUAAAGCGCGCGCAGGCGGUUCCUUAAGUCUGAUGUGAAAGCCCACGGCUCAACCGUGGAGGGUCAUUGGAAACUGGGGAACUUGAGUGCAGAAGAGAAGAGCGGAAUUCCACGUGUAGCGGUGAAAUGCGUAGAGAUAUGGAGGAACACCAGUGGCGAAGGCGGCUCUUUGGUCUGUAACUGACGCUGAGGCGCGAAAGCGUGGGGAGCAAACAGG